UACGGAGGAGGCAAGCGUUAUCCGGAUUUAUUGGGCGUAAAGCGUCCGCAGGUGGUGGAGCAAGUCUGCUGUCAAAGCGCGAAGCUUAACUUCGUACAGGCAGUGGAAACUGCUCAACUUGAGGGUGAUAGGGGCAGAGGGAAUUCCCAGUGUAGCGGUGAAAUGCGUAGAGAUUGGGAAGAACACCGGUGGCGAAAGCGCUCUGCUGGGUCACACCUGACACUGAGGGACGAAAGCUAGGGGAGCGAAAGGG
rnacentral:rRNA from 1 species